GGCUUUGCAGCAAGUAGAGCAUUGGGCUUUUAACCUAAUGGUCGCAGGUUCAAGUCCUGCUAUACCCA
rnacentral:tRNA from 2 species